GGUUUGACCCUGGCUCAGAUUGAACAAGCUGGCGGGAUGCUUUCAUACAUGCAAGUCGAACGGCACGGACUUCGGUCUGGUGGCGAGUGGCGAACGGGUGAGUAAUGUAUCGGAACGUGCCUAGUAUGGGGGAUAACUACGCGAAAGCGCCAAUACCGCAUACGCCCUUCGGGGGAAAGUGGGGACCUUCGGGCCUCGCACUAUUAGAGCGGCUGAGGUUAUCGGAUUAGCUAGCGUUGGUGGGGUAACGGCUCACCAAGGCGACGAUCCGUAGCUGGUUUGAGAGGACGACCAGCCACACCGGGACUGAGACACAGCCCAGACUCCUGAGGCAGCAGGGGGAAUUUUACUGGGAAACCCGCAUCCAGCCAUCAUCCCGCGUGUGCGAUGAAGGCCUUCGGGGUUGUAAAGCACUUGGCAGGAGUGAAAUUUAAUGAUACCCCGUGCAACUGACGUGGUAAAAUUCCUGCAGAAUAAGCACCGGCUAACUACGCCAGCAGCCGCGGUAAUACGAAGGUAAGCGUUAAUCGGAAUUACUGGGCGUAAAGCGUGCGCAGGCGGUUCGGAAAAGAAAGAUGUGAAAUCCAGAGCUUAACUUUGGAACUGCAUUUCUUAAUCACCGAGCUAGAGUGUGUCAGAGUGGGAGGUGGAAUUCGCGUAGCAGUAAAUGCGUAGAUAUGCGGAGGAACACUGAUGGCGAAGGCAGCCUCCUGGGAUAACACUGACGCUCAUGCACGAAGCGUGGGGAGCAAACAGGAUUAGAUACCCUGGUGGGUCCACGCCCUAAACGAUGUCAACUAGCUGUUGGGGCCUUCGGGCUCGGUAGCGCAGCUAACGCGUGAAGUUGACCGCCUGGGGAGUACGGUCGCAAGAUUAAAACUCAAAGGAAUUGACGGGGACUCCGCACAAGCGGUAGAUGAUGUGGAUUAAUUAUGCAACGCGAAAAACCUUACCUACCCUUGACAUGCUCCGAAUCCCGAAGAGAUUUGGGAGUGCUCGCAAGAGAACCGGAACACAGGUGCUGCAUGGCUGUCGUCAGCAGCUCGUGUCGUGGAGAUGUUGGGUUAAGUCCCGCAACGAGCGCAACCUUUGUCAUUAGUUGCUACGAAAGGGCACCUAAUGAGACUGCCGGUGACAAACCGGAGGAAGGUGGGGAUGACGUCAAGGUCCUCAUGGCCCUUAUGGGUAGGGCUUCACACGUCAUACAAUGGUCGGGACAGAGGGUCGCUAACCCGCGAGGGGGAGCCAAUCCCAGAAACCUGAUCGUAGUCCGAUCGCAGUCUGCAACUCGACUGCGUGAAGCCGGAAUCGCUAGUAAUCGCGGAUCAGCAUGUCGCGGUGAAUACGUUCCCGGGUCUUGUACACACCGCCCGUCACACCAUGGGGAGUGGGUUUUACCAGAAGUAGUUAGCCUAACCGUAAGGAGGCGAUUACCACGGUAGGAUUCGACUGGGGUGAAGUCGUAACAAGGUAA
rnacentral:rRNA from 1 species